rnacentral:rRNA from 1 species
UACGGAGGGGGGCUAGCGUUGUUCGGAAUUACUGGGCGUAAAGCGCACGUAGGCGGCUUUGUAAGUUAGAGGUGAAAGCCCAGGGCUUAACCCCUGGAAUUGCCUUUUAAGACUGCAUCGCUAGAAUCGUGGAGAGGUGAGUGGAAUUCCGAGUGUAGAGGUGAAAUUCGUAGAUAUUCGGAAGAACACCAGUGGCGAAGGCGACUCACUGGACAC